CUCCUGCCUCAGCCUCCGGAGUAGCUGGGACUACAGGCGCCCGCCACCACGCCUGGCCAAUUUUUUUGUAUUUUUUUAGUAGAGACGGGGUUUCACCGUGUUAGCCAGGAUAGUCUUGAUCUUCUGACCUCGUGAGCCGCCUGUCUCAGCCUCCCAAAGGGCUGGGAUUACAGGCGUGAGCCACCGCGCCCGGCCGAUUUACCACUCUUGAUGUUCACCACCUGGCUGAGAAUGUUAGAAACCAAGAUCAAGAGCUUGAUGUGCUUGUUGAUACUGGAGUGUCAUUGAUUCUUGGCCCUGUCAACUGACCAGAUCAAGGAACUACAUGUGUAUAAGCUAAGGCCUGCCUCUCCCACACAAUUUUUUGAUGACCUUCACUUGGAAUGGCCAGAACCAGCUAAUGCAAACCCUGCUGAACCUACAGUAGAAGUUGCUCCUCUCCUCCCCGGCCUCAGUCUCCACCCACUCACAAAAGAAGGCUUUCCAGUCUCCAUUCUAGGACUUAGCCUUAUAACACAUAUUACAAGUAAAGUUCCCACUUGCCUCCAGCAGAAAAGUCACAUCAUGUAUCACAUCUUCUUGCACAUGACAGGAUUUUUGUCGUGACUUUCCUAAAUUCUCACUGUGCCAAGCAAGCAAGAAAGUGCCCACAGGAGUGGGAGGGAAAAGACACAUGGGAUGGCAGCAAGGAAACCUGCCUAGAGGAGCCAGCCAUCCCGUCUGUCCCCUCACUUCCUUCCAGAGAGAACGUCUUUCCUUGACAGCGCCUGCCUCCUGUCAUUUCAUCCCAACACUUUGCCCAGCCCGGGAAAUCUGGAUUUUCUUUUUAAAGAAAGAUGUCUAGAGAGAAAAAUAGAAAAUGAACAGCCAAUAGAAAGUGCAACAGAGCUUGUUGAUUUGGUUCUGUCAGAUGCCCCAAGUGUUCGUGGUAAGCUGGAAAACUCUCCAUCCACUAGAGGCAGCCACAGCUCGGGAUGCUGAUAAAGUUCUGACACAGGGAGUGAGUGAUGAGUGGUGUGUAAAAGUUCUGACACAGGGAGUGAGUGAUGAGUGGUGUGUAACGUGCUGAAAACAGGAAGCUCUGACAACAAUGUGAAGAGGAACCUUCUGAACACAAAUUCUAUGGCUCCAAAUAAGCAAGUUAAUAGUCCUGAUAUCUUGACUUGAUCUACAGAAGAAACCCCACUCAGGAUAACUUUUACUUUUCUGGUGGAAGAGACAAUAAGAAUAAAGACUCACUAAACGGUAAUAAAAUCCUCUUUGACUUACUAAUUGGUUGGUAAUUUUGAAAUUUUCUAAUCUGAAUGUUUAACUCCAAAUAGUUUUCAUCCUGUCAUAUGUUACAGUAUUAACAGUUAUAGAAAAAGAACAGGAAUUAUUAGAAACAUUAAAACUAUUCAAAUCUAGGAAAUGUGGAUCUUAGGAUUUGUGUCAGGAAACCAACAACCUUAGGAUGUGCCCCACAGUUGGCUUUCCUGAACCGUGAUCCCAGAAUGCAAGAAGUCAACCCAAUACAAAUCCAUGCUUUCUGACAAUGGCAGAAAAUUUUUUGGCCAUUGUCCAUUGACUGACUCACAAGCUGUGACAAUGUCCCACCAUUACACUCCACCGACUCCCCCGCAAGGCUGUCACCUGUCUUUACCUGCAGCAGCUGCAUAUAUGCACACAUUUAAUAACACUUAGUGGGGGCAUGUUCUGUUCUAGAAACGGUGCCUGCUCCAAAGAUACGGUGGUGAACAAAAUAAAAAUGCUCCCUGUCUCUAUGGAACUCAGAGUCUAGCAGAAGACAAAGACACAAUGUGAAAUACACAUUUCAAUAAGUGCUAUGAAAGAUAGGUUGUACAGUGAUAUGAAAGGGAAUAACAAAGGGAUGCAAAAGAGUUAUGAAAGGCCUCUCUGAGGAAGUCAUGUUUAAGCUGAAAGGUGAAGGUUGCCUAUAAGAAGGUCAGGCAAAAGACAGGGUGUGUGAGUGGGGAAACAUUCUAGGCAGAGGUAACAGCAUAUGCAAGACCCCAUGGAAGAUUAGAAAAAGGAAACAGCACCAAGAUAUGACCUAUUUUCCUUAGAUGACUGAGGGAAUUCAAAUUCAAUGAAUACCUUCUUUAUCUUAAAAGCUAAAGCCUUUACAUUUAUUAUAAAUAGGGAUUUCUAUAAAUCCUGUCAACUCCCACUUAUCCUGUAUUCUCAAUCCUGUAUUUAUUCACCAACAUCUUUGAGCUGUUUUCUCUGGCCUUAUCCUUAUUCUUUCUAAGGUAUAUCUAUCUUUUUUAGCAACCCCGAUAAUUAGAUAGGAUAAUCUGUUGAGAUAUUAAUUUGUGAUUUGUAUUUCUGAUUUGUGCUAUAGAAGACUUGAAGGAUUAGAAGGGACUUUCCUCCUACUUCCUUCACUGGAAAGACAACCAGGCCUUUAUCUUCUAAGAUCUUUUUUCUAUUUUCAAGCAAUUAACAGUUUAUUUUUGUAUCAGAACAUCCUGUCCCAUCCCUCAAGAUCUGUUGCGCAAAAUGUAGGCCCAUCGGGAGGAAGAAAGUUGAGGAGAGGGGUGAUUUGCCUUGCUGGCAACUUAUUGACAUGUCUUUGCCAUGCUCCUACUCAGGAAAUUAGAUCCCAUGACCUAUAAAAUUCAGUCAAAACUGCAGCUAAACUCACACCCUCUGCUAUAUUGGACCUGAAGUCUCUGCAGCCAUUCUCCUCUAUUGCCACAUUCAUCCCCCGUACCAAGUCGUACCCCAUCAAUUCUGCCUGUCCCAUAAUUCAUCUCAAGCUUAUUUUCUUCUAUGCUGUUUCCCUUUCCCACUUUUUAAUUUCACCCUUAUUUUAAUCUCUCAUUUUCCUGUUGUUUCAUAGUGAAACCACUUUGCAAAAUUAUAACUGAGGAAACUAUGACAGUGAAAGACAUCAGACCUAACUGAUUCCAUCUUGCUUCUAACGUUUAAGCUGUCCUUGUUCUUUCCUGGGCAUAGGCCAAACUAACUUUGGGAAGGAAUUCAGUUCAUGGUUUGACUCUGAAACAAAUUGGAACCAGCCCUUUCCUGAAAAACCCCGUUUCUUCCUUGGAGACCAGUCUGCCUUUGCAGGACUAACAACUUAGCUACAACAUUAGAAAUCACAGUUUAGGGGUCAUGCAGUCUCUGGUUCCAAGAGUUUGAACCUCCCGAAAUUGCUCCUGGGGAUAAUAUCGGUAUUGUGAAACCUAAGAUCAGUGCUUAAGACCCUGCACUGGAUGGAUCAGCUGACACCACCCAGAGUGGUAAUCUGGCUCAACCAGUUCUGCCAUCCCUCCCAAGAACAGAAAACAGCAAAAAACAAACAAACAAACAAACAAACAAAAAAAACUCACUUCGACUCCCACUGCCCCCCAUGAUUCCAUCUCCAACCUGACCAAUCAGCACUCCCCACUUCCCAAGCCCCUACCUGCCAAAUUAUCUUUAAAAACACUUAUCAUCAAAUGGCUCAGGGAGAAUGAUUUGAGUAAUAAUAAAACUCUGGUCUCCCGCACAGCUGGCUCUUCCUGAUUUACUCUUUCUCCAUUGCAAUUCCCCUGUCUUGAUAAAUCGGCUCUGUCUAGGCUGCGGGCAAGGUGAACCCAUUGG
rnacentral:lncRNA from 1 species